CGGUGUUCCCGGCAGUUCGCGACCGUUACGGCGACGCCUCCUCCAGCAGCUCCAGCUCCGACUCCAGCGGCGACGAUGACGUGGCGCUGGACCCCCGCGAGGAGCGGGAAUUCUACCGGACGCUGGCGCUGCUGAAGACGCGCGACCCCCGCGUGUACCGGCCCGACACCGAGUUCUACAGCCGCGGGCCCGAGGAGGAGGAGGAGGAGGAG